AUUGAACGCUGGCGGCAGGACUAACACAUGCAAGUCGAACGAGUGGCGGACGGGUGAGUAAUGUCUGGGAAACUGCCUGAUGGAGGGGGAUAACUACUGGAAACGGUAGCUAAUACCGCAUACCAUCGGAUGUGCCCAGAUGGGAUUAGCUAGUAGGUGGGGUAAAGGCUCACCUAGGCGACGAUCCCUAGCUGGUCUGAGAGGAUGACCAGGCACACUGGUGCUGAAGCACGGUCCGGACUCCUACGGGAGGCAGCAGUGGGGAAUGUUGCACAAUGGGCGCAAGCCUGAUGCAGCCAUGCUGCGUGUAUGAAGAAGGCCUUCGGGUUGUAAAGUACUUUCAGCGGGGAGGCGUUACCCGCAGAAGAAGCACCGGCUAACUCCGUGCCAGCAGCCGCGGUAAUAA
rnacentral:rRNA from 1 species